UCCAGACUCCUACGGGAGGCAGCAGUGGGGAAUAUUGCACAAUGGGGGAAACCCUGAUGCAGCGACGCCGCGUGAGUGAAGAAGUAUUUCGGUACGUAAAGCUCUAUCAGCAGGGAAGAAAAACCGGCCUUAGGGCCGCCAGACGGUACCUGACUAAGAAGCCCCGGCUAACUACGUGCCAGCAGCCGCGGUAAUACGUAGGGGGCAAGCGUUAUCCGGAUUUACUGGGUGUAAAGGGAGCGUAGACGGCAGCGCAAGUCUGGAGUGAAAUGCCGGGGCCCAACCCCGGAACUGCUUUGGGAACUGUUUUGCUGGAGUAUGGGAGGGGUAAGCGGAAUUCCUGGUGUAGCGGUGAAAUGCGUAGAUAUCAGGAGGAACAUCGGUGGCGAAGGCGGCUUACUGGACCAUAACUGACGUUGAGGCUCGAAAGCGUGGGGAGCGAACAGGAUUAGAUACCCUUGUACGA
rnacentral:rRNA from 1 species